rnacentral:rRNA from 1 species
CUUUCAGCAACGGAUCUCUUGGCUCUCGCAUCGAUGAAGAACGCAGCGAAAUGCGAUAAGUAAUGUGAAUUGCAGAAUUCAGUGAAUCAUCGAAUCUUUGAACGCACCUUGCGCCCCUUGGCUAUUCCGAAGGGCAUGCCUGUUUGAGUAUCAUG